CGGGGUGCUGCAGCAGUGGGGAAUAUUGGACAAUGGGGGAAACCCUGAUCCAGCAAUGCCGCGUGUGUGAAGAAGGCCUGCGGGUUGUAAAGCACUUUCGGUUGGGAGGACUGCUUCUAGCACUAAUAUUGUUGGAAGUUGACGUUACCUUCAGAAGAAGCACCGGCUAACUCCGUGCCAGCAGCCGCGGUAAUACGGAGGGUGCAGCGUUAAUCGGAAUUACUGGGCGUAAAGCGCGCGUAGGCGGCUAGAUCAGUCGGGUGUGAAAGCCCCGGGCUUAACCUGGGAACUGCAUCCGAUACUGUCUAGCUUGAGUACAGGAGAGGAGAGUGGAAUUCCACAUGUAGCGGUGAUAUGCGUAGAUAUGUGGAGGAACACCAAUGGCGAAGGCAGCUCUCUGGCCUGAUACUGACGCUGAGGUGCGAAAGCGUGGGGAGCAAACAGGAUUAGAUACCCUAGUAGUC
rnacentral:rRNA from 1 species